CUGAGGUUCAGGCUUGCCCAUGAUAAACUGGCAUGCCCCCAUGGUUACAGAGUUGCCCAAGUACUCAAUAUCUUAACGUCCCUUCAGGAAGGUGCAGGAGCCCUCGCCUGGGAACGGUGAGGGUGGGGUGCUGCGUGGGUGUGGGUGUGUAGGGGGCUGUGGGUCUUGUGUGAAGAGCUGGGGCCUGCUGAAAGCGAGUAGAGCCUGAGAGAGGAGAGAUGAUCCGAGAUAGGGUGCCCAUGGAGGGAGAAGGACUGAACGCAGGAGGACCCAGGCAUGCCUGGAGCCAAAGGAGCACUGCAUCAGGAGUCAAGAGACGGGGUUCCAGCCCUGGCUUUGCCACGAAUGGGGUGUAUGAGCUUGGAAUACUCUCAAUGAUGCUAUUUUCAAUUGGGGGGGAAAAAGGAUUGUUUUCAUCAUAAAAGGAAUAUAACCUCAUCAGUCUACAGAAAAGGAAAAUAGAGAAAGAGAAGCUCCCGUGGUCCUAUCAGCCGCCGCAGCCCUUCGGAACAUGUGCUCUGAGCCUGCGGGUGCUCUGAGAAGGCCCCAGUCCCAUCGCGGCCAUCACUGAAGGCUUCCUGUAGGAGGGGACCUUUGAGCUGAGCCUUCAAGGAUGGGGUGGAAUUUCCACGAGGGUCCAGAGGAGAGAAAAAGGCUGGCGCUUCAGGUAGAGUGGUUGACUCCCUCAGAAGCUAAGAUCUUUAAGCGCGAACUACGAGGCACGCGGGGACUCGCUCGUCUCCACCACGGGGGCCCUCCAGUCCUUGCCGGCCGUGUGGUAUUUGCCGAGUAUUAGCCACGAGG
rnacentral:lncRNA from 1 species